rnacentral:lncRNA from 1 species
UCACUGUAAAUCAGAAAAUUUAGGAGAGGCAGCUCUUCUGCGUGGGGACCUUGAAAUGCAAAGAAGCUCUGCUGGAGGCAAAAGAUUUCGAGGACCUGUGGUGCAGUGGACAGGACCCAGCCUGUACCCCGAGGACUCACCCCGAGAUAAACAGGAUAAAUCAUUCUCCUCUACAGUCCUCUCCUACCCUUCCUGGAGCCUCCGCUGUGGGUUUGAUCGCCAAGACUCCACCAUCUUGCUUGUGUGCCAUGCUGUGGUUGUUGCUGCCAAGCCACAGACUCCCAUUGUGGAUUCUCCACCAUGAGGUUUGAAUGAAAGGGCAAAUCCUUAUGUCCAGUCACAUUGCACUUCUUAAAUGGGACCCGCUGCUCUGUCAACAAUGUAUAGAGUCCCAUACCAUCUGAGAAAAAGAUAGCUGCUAGCUCAUGUACUUCAAUGUGCACGGCCUCAAGUCUUCAUCCAUAAGGUGCUGAUAGAAACUAAAAGUGGAGACUUCGCAUCAAUAUUGCAAACCCAGACGCCCUACGCGGAGAAUCACCUUCCUUAAUGAUACUCAGGCUGGAUCCCACAAAUCAAGACCCUGACCUGAUGCUGUGUGGUGGGACUUGGCCAUGAGGGGUUUUCUAAAUCUCUCCAUGAUUGAGUGAUGUGCAAUCAAAUAUGAAGCCUACUGCCGUGCAGCAGUGUGACCACCCUCUCUUCCCUGGCACCCUCUCAUAGCAGUAGGAUGACGGACUGCUAACCAACCCUUUGUUUCAUUCAAUAAAGCAAACUCCAAUCCAAGAGAGUGGGUACUAUCAUUAUACAGGAUCGAGAGUCAGAUUUGACCGAUGUCAAAAAAGCCAGUGCCAAACCUUAGCAACCGAACCAUGAUCAGUUCUUUCAAGCCUGGUUUUGAAGACUCAUCAUUAGCAAUUUCUUAUUAUGUUGAUCAUGGCCUAGUCAAAAAGCCCUUUGGGUUUGGUUGUUAACAUGGUAUUUAAUUAACAUGAUUGCACAGGCAUUGGAUGCAUUUCUCGCUCUUGUUUAUAAGAAGGCCACUGGAGACCACACCAAAUGUAGGUAAGACACUGAGGACAUCGUCACAAGAGUGAGACAUACUGCCUGGUUUUCUUCCAAAGUCUUUACUUCCCUCUGAUUUCACGGUGUGUGAAACCACAGAAUUUUCUCUUGAUGAAAUCAUGAGCAUCAAUUAGGGAGUAACCUGCUUGGUUUCUAGAUUUUGUUUCAGGGAUCCAAAAUAUUGAUGGAGGAUGGUCAAUGAGAAAGAGCUUUUUGGCCGUCGUGUCUGGCACGGGAAAUGUGCAAUAGGUGUUGUACGGUGACAAUACUAUAUUGCCUUUACAUUUAUUUGGGGUGGGUAAGAACAAUAUUCAAGGUGGUUGUGUCUUUUUUUGUUUGGUUGGUUUUUAUUUAUUUUUUAAAGAAAAGAAGACGUUCUAGAUGCGUAGAAUUGAAGCUUAAGGAAUUUUGAGCCUUGCAUGUUCCAAGGUCAAAUUUUAACAAAUUUUAAUUUUUGCUAGGACAAAAAGUGCCUAGCAACUUGUUUUUUUGCGUGGCUCCCUCCCUCUUCCUUCCUCCCUUCCAUCUGCCACCCUUCCUUCUUUCCAUCGUUCCUUCUAUCCCUCCCUCCUUCCUUCCUUUAUUUAACUAUUACAAGUGAAAGCACAGUCUCUCAGCCAUUCUUUUCUCCAGUAAUGAAUGCUUUCACUCACGGACAUCAUCACCCUCCCUGUCAGCAGGGCACUUUCU